rnacentral:rRNA from 1 species
UACAUGGGGUGCAAACGUUGCUCGGAAUUAUUGGGCGUAAAGCGCGCGUAGGCGGUUACUCAAGUCGGAUGUGAAAGCCCUCGGCUUAACUGAGGAAGUGCACCCGAAACUGAGUAGCUAGAGUACUAAAGAGGGUCGCGGAAUUCCAGGUGUAGCGGUGAAAUGCGUAGAGAUCGGGAGGAACACCGGCGGCGAAGGCGGCUGCCUGGACCAGUCCUGACGCUGAGGCGCGAAAGCUAGGGGAGCAAACAGG